CAGGCUGACGCAUAUAUCUUCCAAAACAUUGAAGGCGACGAGCGCCUCUGUGAUGAUUCCUGUCGUCGCAUCAAUUGCAUCCUAUCGCUGUUUGACAAAAUGCCAAGGCGGGAGCGGAUGGUGUAAGAGGCGGUUGAGCGUGGACUAUCAUGUCGCAUCUACAUCUGAUGCCUAAAGAUUGAAGCAGCAGCACCUGCAAGGUAUUGGCGCAGACAUUGAACAAGGUUGGAAGAGGUUGUUGGCCUCCAUGCUCAAGUUCUCAAAAUGCACCUCGACCUUGGGAACUUGAAUCCCCAACCUGACCAUAAAACAUCACUUGGAGGAGGAACUCCUCGUUGUCCGCAUGGUGAAGGGGGCCUCUUGCCGUUCCAUGCUUGUGGAUCUCGUCUUCCUUCUGCCACUUCAACUUCGGGUUGUGCUACCAAGUAAGCCUGGUGUUGAUGUGCUGUUUUAGCGUGCUCAGAUAUAUAGAGCGGAAGAGCAACGUGAGCAAAGUAGUAGUAGCAUGGGAACGGUGUAAAGGUGUAUCAGACCUGAAUCGGUUCUGGGUCGGAAUCGAAUCAGGUCGAUAGUUCGAUGAUAUCGAAUCAGAUGAGAAGCGGGGUCAUACGGUUCGAUUCUGAUUUCUAGAAAUUAGGAUGUAAAUCGGUAUGGUAGAAUCUAAAGCUCUGAUUUCAGUUCUUAGUGGAAAGGACUCUGUUCCACACCCACUGUCUCUAUUCAUAGUCUCAACGCAGCAGUAGUUGAUUCGAUUGUUCAUCCAUGUGGGUGACAU